UUUCACCAUAGUGUCUCCUCUUUCUCUCCGCGCAGGAUCUUAGAGUCUUAGUGGGAGUUCCAAGAAGCACUGGAGAUAGUGCUUCAAUGGCGUUGACGCUGAAUACAGCUCCAUUUGUGAGAUCAUCGAGCAUCCAAGCCAAUCGAGUUCGAAAUCAGUAUGCUCUAUCGCCGGUUUCUGUUUCGUUUUCUAGAAGGAGACUAUCGGUUAUUGCCGCUGAAACUGACAAGAAUGAAGUUAAAUCUCAGGCACCAGAUAAAGCGCCGGCGAGUGGUGGUUCGAGCUUCAAUCAGCUUCUUGGAAUUAAAGGUGCUGCGCUAGAAACUAAUAAAUGGAAGAUUCGUCUUCAAUUGACAAAGCCUGUUACAUGGCCGCCCUUGGUUUGGGGAGUAGUGUGUGGAGCUGCUGCUUCUGGUAACUUCCAUUGGAAUUUCGAGGAUGUGGCUAAAUCAAUUACUUGCAUGCUUAUGUCUGGUCCAUUUCUCACUGGCUACACGCAGACGAUCAAUGAUUGGUAUGAUCGAGAAAUUGAUGCAAUUAAUGAACCUUAUCGUCCAAUCCCAUCUGGGGCAAUAUCUGAGAAUGAGGUUAUGGCACAAAUAUGGGUGUUGCUUCUGGGAGGACUUGGCUUGGCUGGUUUGUUAGAUGUGUGGGCAGGGCAUGACUUUCCUAUAGUCUUCUACCUUGCUCUGGGUGGCUCUUUGUUAUCAUACAUAUACUCUGCUCCACCUCUAAAGCUUAAACAAAAUGGAUGGAUUGGAAAUUGUGCUCUUGGAGCUAGUUAUAUCAGUUUACCAUGGUGGGCAGGUCAAGCUUUAUUUGGAACACUCGCUCCUGAUAUUGUGGUUCUUACACUCUUGUACAGCAUAGCUGGAUUUGGAAUAGGCAUUGUAAAUGAUUUCAAAAGUGUUGAGGGGGAUAGAGCUUUAGGACUUCAGUCACUUCCAGUAGCUUUUGGUGCUGAAACUGCUAAAUGGAUUUGCGUUGGCGCUAUUGACAUAACUCAAUUAUCUGUUGCUGGUUAUCUGUUGGGAGCUGGCAAGCCGUAUUAUGCAUUAGCCCUCCUUGCUCUAAUUGCUCCCCAAGUUUUUUUCCAGUUCAAAUACUUUCUCAAGGACCCCGUCAAGUACGAUGUCAAAUAUCAGGCCAGUGCCCAGCCAUUUCUUGUGCUGGGGCUGUUGAUCACUGCUCUUGCAACCAGCCAUUGAACUCUAGCAUGCGGAAAAUCAAACGUACGUACACGUACAGACAUGCGUGACAAACGCAAUGCCAGCAAGAGCAGACAGCAAAGUCUGCAGACUACCCCAGCAGCAGCCAGACCAAGUCAGGUUGCAAUUGAAUCAGAAUAUGCAUACAUACUGGAAUUCUGUUCUCUUGCUUCCGGCUGGCUCAUAUAUUUUUCAGAUAUGUCCUCAACUUUCUUCUCAUGCAUGGUUAUCACUGGAAUACACCCGGGGCUAGAGCAUGUCGUGGAAGAAGCACACUGGCCGUGCUUCGACUGUGUCUCCGGGACACAGUUGAAUGUAGAUAUCAUGAACGCGAGGUGCAAGAUUCCCGGCCGAGAAACCCGGGCAACCACUCUCCUAUGUACUGAUCGCUAGCGCAUCUAGGGCCUCGGUGCCUAGUGGAGCUGGAGAGGCCUAGCCUGAUCUGAGAAGUGCUAAUUCGGUUCGUUUCGACUUCAUUCAAGAACACCGCACCUGGAAUCAAUAAGAAAACAAGUGCUAAGUUUUAGAUCAGUGAAUAAACCGAAACGAAAGAAGAGACCUUUCUCGCUCGGUGCCUAAAGUGCACUAUGCUCCCCUUCAACAAAUGAGAGUUUUCGGUGGAACAGGUGAAUACGCGAGCAGGUUAGAUGCGUGGGACAAAGGGCUCGUAGUACAUGCUAGCGCAGCUAUGCAGUGGAAGGGAAGGAACCAAAUCGACUCCCUUUUUUCUUUGAUAAAAAAACAGUACAAAGAGAUUAGACUCUCGAAUGAGACUAAGCAGCUACCGACCAUUCCGACGCGACCCCUAAUCUACCUUGAUUAAGACGGAACAAACCAAACCUAUAAAAAAAAAUGGGAGUAAUAAUUAUUAUUGUUCUUA